GAUGAACGCUGGCGGCGUGCCUAAUACAUGCAAGUCGAGCGAAUGGAUUAAGAGCUUGCUCUUAUGAAGUUAGCGGCGGACGGGUGAGUAACACGUGGGUAACCUGCCCAUAAGACUGGGAUAACUCCGGGAAACCGGGGCUAAUACCGGAUAACAUUUUGAACCGCAUGGUUCGAAAUUGAAAGGCGGCUUCGGCUGCCACUUAUGGAUGGACCCGCGUCGCAUUAGCUAGUUGGUGAGGUAACGGCUCACCAAGGCAACGAUGCGUAGCCGACCUGGGAGGGUGAUCGGCCAAACUGGGACUGAGACACGGCCCAGACUCCUACGGGAGGCAGCAGUAGGGAAGCUUCCGCAAUGGACGAAAGUCUGACGGAGCAACGCCGCGUGAGUGAUGAAGGCUUUCGGGUCGUAAAACUCUGUUGUUAGGGAAGAACAAGUGCUAGUUGAAUAAGCUGGCACCUUGACGGUACCUAACCAGAAAGCCACGGCUAACUACGUGCCAGCCGCCGCAGUAA
rnacentral:rRNA from 1 species